rnacentral:lncRNA from 1 species
CUCGGAUUCAUCAGAUUCUCUACUUGCGUCAUUUGCAAUGGAAAGACCCUCCCACAAGCAAAACCAUAUUCCUGCUGCUGUCAGUUAUGAUGCACUGAGAAAACUUCAGAGACCUAAACUUUUUCCAGAGAAGAGAAGCUUUACUGGUGUUCCAGCCCUAAGCAACCAUCUUUCCUGUGAAAAAUUCCCUCUCCUAGUACUUUAGUUCUGUGGAUCCAAAAUUUAUAGCAUUCUUCUACCACCACAGGGGCUAUAUGACAUUGACAGACAAGACACUUUUCAGAAAGACAGGUAAGUCAUUUGUUAAAAUCUUACUACUGUUGUUUAACAGAAACAUAUAUAUGCAUGUCUAUGUGUGUACUGUAUGGAAAAAGUGGAAUUAGAGUUUAUCUAGAAAAGAAAAAAUUACCUCAUCUAAGUGCAGAAAUGAAUAAUAC